UACGUAGGGGGCAAGCGUUGUCCGGAUUUAUUGGGCGUAAAGAGCGCGCAGGCGGUCGUUCAAGUCGCGUGUGAAAGCCCCCGGCUCAACUGGGGAGGGUCACGCGAUACUGAUCGACUCGAAGGCAGGAGAGGGAAGUGGAAUUCCCGGUGUAGUGGUGAAAUGCGUAGAUAUCGGGAGGAACACCAGUGGCGAAGGCGACUUCCUGGCCUGUUCUUGACGCUGAGGUGCGAAAGCCAGGGGAGCGAACGGG
rnacentral:rRNA from 1 species